rfam:Astyanax mexicanus Tnplaced_Scaffold4549, whole genome shotgun sequence.
GAUCAGUGGGAGAGCAUUUGACUGCAGAUCAAGAGGUCCCCGGUUCAAAUCCGGG